rnacentral:lncRNA from 1 species
AUAGGCUGUCCAGCUCUAAUGAUGAUAAUAAGAUCAGGUAACUCUGGCCAACUUGGAAAAAUCGUCAAACAAUUCUCAUUUUGCAGGUCGCAGCGCUCGUCCCCCACCCCAAACACCACCAGGUCAUUCCUUUCAUGUUGUUCCACUUUUUGUUUUUUUCUCGCUAAGAGCAACUACACAGGGUCCAGACGCAGUUUGUGGAGAGAGAUGGAGAGAACUUCUUUAGAGCCUUGUAAGCAACGCAAACAUCUCCUCGGACUCUCCAAACUCCCACUCGGCAUACGUGGCCUGGUCAAGUGCAUCACCGUGGCCCUCCUCUUCCUCUUCCUGGUUGUGAACCAGGAUACUGUUCCAUUCUCUCCAGUCACGGGGCUCCUCUCUCGUCGGAUCAAAGCAGUGUGGUGACCGCAGGCGUAGUAGCUGCCGCACAAACAAUGGUGCUUCCACUGGACACCCGGUAGUCGUCUCAUGGUGGACAACCAUGCUCGGUUCCUUCUUCGCCAGCAGAUGGCUACUUAUCGUUGUCAAUCUCAGGUUUGUCUCCAUACCUGAUGGUAGACGAUCAGGAUUGUCAAGCCUGCAGCAUACCGAGCAGAUUUUCAUGAUCCAAGGAAAAAGCAAGAACUACAAUGAGUGCAUACCAGCGGAAUAGCGGCCUUUUCCAGCAACGCCAUUUAGCGAUCACGUCCUCGUCUGCCGCUGGCUGAAAAGAGUUAUGUUAAACGAGGCAAGAAAUGAAACACCAAUUACCAUGAACUGGUACUUGCUGGCUUGACAACAAGGAAACGAGUUGCAGGGGCCAAGCAAGUGCCUCAGAUCGGCAUCUGUAGCAAAAACGAAGGAAGUAAGAGAUGGGAGCACUUGAGAGCUAGGAAAUAGUGUGUUGCCACACUCACAGGUGAUGUCUAUGGCAAAGGCAACCGGAAGCAGAGCCCCGAGCAGGAAGAGCCGCGCGUGUUGCAGUGCGACAGCCAC